UUUCCGUAGGUGAACCUGCGGAAGGAUCAUUAAUGUGUUUGGGCCUCACGGCUCUUCAUUCCGACGCUGUGCGCCUUCGGGCUGCACGCUGAGGGAGCAUAUAUCCACCCCUGUGCACACACACGGUGGCGAGCUGGGUAACGGCUCGCCGCUGAUCUUUACACACGUCUAAAAGUCAUUGUAUGUUUAUCUAAGAUAAAAACACAACUUUCAGCAACGGAUCUCUUGGCUCUC
rnacentral:misc_RNA from 1 species